AACCAAGUAUACUAAUUUGCUUGAUAGUUUGAAAAAGAUUGGUGGUGGAAAGCCAAGAGAACAUGUUGUUUUGAUCAUGAAAAGGUUAUUUUUGAAUCAGUUACAGUUCAAAUUAAAUCAAAAAGGAAAUGGGGAAAAGAUAACCUUAGAAAAUCUAGUAAAUAUAUGGAGUGUUUUACGAGGUAUAGUUUCAAUAGUAUUUACAAAACUAAUAUCUGUAUUAAAAAGAUAUUCUUCGACUUUUUUGUGUCAUGCUAGAAUUUUUGU